GCCAGGCAUCCUGCACGCUUGGCUUUUACGUCACGUUUUAAUGUGAGGUAGUCUUAGUUUCAGCAUGUCCUCAAUAGAGACCAGCGGGCCAGGCUUAUUCUCCUUCAAGGAGUCUCCGUAAAGCCUGCGGAGUGGCAGUCGCUCCAGAAGUAAAUAAUAACGUGUCAGCUACUUGUGAGUGGAAUGGAUGGCCAAAUGACUCAUGAAGAUUUUCAAGGAAGAAUGGUAAAAAACUGAAGAAAAGGCCCAUCCCUGAAGUAACUCCAGUGCCAUCUAGGAUUUUUGAGCAGCUGAAAGAAGAAAGUUCGGAAAAUGGAUAAAUCAAAGAUGACAAUUCUAGAAUUUUAAGAAGAAGAAGGAAAUUUGCUACCUGAUUACAGGAUGAUGACUUAAAGCCAACUAAAAAACAUCUGCAUCAUCUUGUGGGUUAUUGGGAAAAGAGAGCUCAUGUUGCAACCACGUAAGAGCAGAGGUAGAGAGGGAAAAUUCAAAAGAACUUUGACAGAAGUCACUCAAAGAUAUUCAGCUGGCAAAUAGGCUGGUAUGCAAAGUCUAAAACUAUUUUGGUCACAUGAUGCCUCAUUGGGAAUGGCUGGAAGGCCAACCUCACCUGGAAUCAUCAACCAGAAUUUCCACAAGUGGCCUCUCCAGCAUGGCAACCAUCUCAGAGUAGUAGGACUUCCCAUUGGGUGCUUCAGAACAUCAAUGGCAAUGAUUCCAGCUAUUACCUCUUGAUGAGAGGGCUAAGAAGUAUUUUUGGUCCUGGUUUAAAAAUGCCAAAAUUGGGCUAGAUGAUCUCUAACAUAAUUUUUGUUUCUAAAAAUCUGUUUCAAAAACAACAAUAAAGAUUUAGCAAGGUUAUAAAAUAAAAAAAAUCUUAACUUUUUGUAAGUUGUAAGCAUCUAAGACUCUGGAAGUAGUAAUUAGUCUACAAUAUUUAUCUCAAAAAGAUUUAAUUCCAACCAGGUAAUAAUGUAUAGCUGAAAUUAGAUGUACAUGUAAUGCUACAUGUAUAGCUGAAAUUAGAUGGAAAAUAUGUAAAAAAUAUAUAUAACUUUAUGUUUCU